rnacentral:rRNA from 1 species
AUUGAACGCUGGCGGCAGGCUUAACACAUGCAAGUCGAGCGGAGAUGAGGUGCUUGCACCUUAUCUUAGCGGCGGACGGGUGAGUAAUGCUUAGGAAUCUGCCUAUUAGUGGGGGACAACAUUCCGAAAGGAAUGCUAAUACCGCAUACGUCCUACGGGAGAAAGCAGGGGAUCUUCGGACAUUGCGCUAAUAGAUGACGCUAAGUCGGAUUAGCUAGUUGGGGGGGGAAAGGCCUACCAAGGCGACGAUCUGUAGCGGGUCUGAGAGGAUGAUCCGCCACACUGGGACUGAGACACGGCCCAGACGCCUACGGGAGGCAGCAGUGGGGAAUAUUGGACAAUGGGGGGAACCCUGAUCCAGCCAUGCCGCGUGUGUGAAGAAGGCCUUAUGGUUGUAAAGCACUUUAAGCGAGGAGGAGGCUACUGAGACUAAUACUCUUGGAUAGUGGACGUUACUCGCAGAAUAAGCACCGGCUAACUCUGUGCCAGCCGCCGCCGUAAGAC